rnacentral:tRNA from 1 species
GGUGAGGUGGCCGAGUGGUUGAAGGCGCACGCCUGGAAAGCGUGUAUAGGGGAAACUCUAUCGAGGGUUCGAAUCCCUCUCUCACCGCCA